GACGAACGCUGGCGGCGUGCCUAACACAUGCAAGUCGAACGGGGCUUGUUAUCCAGAAUUUUUCGGAAGGACGGAGAACAAGGCUAGUGGCGGACGGGUGAGUAACGCGUGAGUAACCUGCCUUUCAGAGGGGGAUAACGUUCUGAAAAGGACGCUAAUACCGCAUAACAUAUAGAGGUCGCAUGGCAGCUAUAUCAAAGGAGCAAUCCGCUGAGAGAUGGACUCGCGUCUGAUUAGAUAGUUGGUGGGGUAACGGCCUACCAAGUCGACGAUCAGUAGCCGGACUGAGAGGUUGAACGGCCACAUUGGGACUGAGACACGGCCCAGACUCCUACGGGAGGCAGCAGUGGGGGAUAUUGCGCAAUGGGGGAAACCCUGACGCAGCAACGCCGCGUGAAGGAAGAAGGUUUUCGGAUUGUAAACU
rnacentral:rRNA from 1 species